UACGAAGGGGGCUAGCGUUGUUCGGAAUUACUGGGCGUAAAGCGCACGUAGGCGGAUGUGCCAGUCAGGGGUGAAAUCCCGAGGCUCAACCUCGGAACUGCCUCCGAUACAGCACGUCUCGAGUCCGGAAGAGGUGAGUGGAAUUCCUAGUGUAGAGGUGAAAUUCGUAGAUAUUAGGAAGAACACCAGUGGCGAAGGCGACUCACUGGUCCGGUACUGACGCUGAGGUGCGAAAGCUAGGGUAGCAAAUGGG
rnacentral:rRNA from 1 species